rnacentral:rRNA from 1 species
GAGGAAGGCGGGCGGCGUGCCUAAUACAUGCAAGUCGAGCGAACAGAUGAGGAGCUUGCUCCUCUGACGUUAGCGGCGGACGGGUGAGUAACACGUGGAUAACCUACCUAUAAGACUGGGAUAACUUCGGGAAACCGGAGCUAAUACCGGAUAAUAUAUUGAACCGCAUGGUUCAAUAGUGAAAGACGGUUUUGCUGCUACUUAUAGACCGAUCCGCGCCGCAUUAGCUAGUUGGUAAGGUAACGGCUUACCAAGGCAACGAUGCGUAGCCGACCUGAGAGGGUGAUCGGCCACACUGGAACUGAGACACGGUCCAGACUCCUACGGGAGGCAGCAGUAGGGAAUCUUCCGCAAUGGGCGAAAGCCUGACGUGUCAACGCCGCGUGAGUGAUGAAGGUCUGCGGAUCGUAAAACUCUGUUAUUAGGGAAGAACAAAUGUGUAAGUAACUAUGCACGUCUUGACGGUACCUAAUCAGAAAGCCACGGCUAACUACGUG